rnacentral:lncRNA from 1 species
UCGGUUCGUCUGCUUCACGGAGGCAUUCUUCUUCCAAGCGGGAUCUCAGGCAAGAUGAUCAUUUCCCCAGAUACCAUUACUAUCAUUGCCAUGCUAGUUAUCGCUUCUAUCGUUUAUGUCUCGAUGCCUACCACAUGUUAAAUAUUAGCCUCUCAACAAUGCCAUGAAACCUUUAACCUGUUCAACCUAGCAAAACCACUGAUUGGCCAUGUUACUGCUUGCUUAACCCUGUUGUUAGCGUUGCUAGUUGCAGGUGUAGAUGCUUCCAUGUGAUAACAUGGGUUCCUUGUUAUAUCACCAUAUUAAAUGCUAUCUAAUUUAAUGCACCUUAUAUACUUGGUAAAAGGUGGAAGGCUCGGCCUUUCUAGCCUGGUGUUUUGUUCCACCUUUGCCCCCUUAGUUUCGGCUACCGGUGUUAUGUUCCAUAAUCGAGCGCUCCUAACACGAUCGGGGUUGUUAUGGGGACCCCCUUGAUAAUUCGUUUUAGAUUAAAGCUGGUCUGGCAAGGCCCAACUUUGGUUCUACAUUUUCCCAACAUAAUAAUUCUGUUAAAUUGAAAUGCAUAGGGAGUUAGCGCUACCCGAGGAGUAAUUUUACAUAAACAGGGGGGGCAGUGCUGAUGGUGUUGGUCCCAAACGGUCUGCCUGCGGGGCCACGGCGAGGAAACUCGAGGUUUGGCACCUGUAGCUAGUUCCAUCCGUCGUGUCCUGAGAACGAGAUACGCGGCUCCUAUCGGGUACGUCGACACGUCGGGCGGCCUUGCUGGAUUAGUUUUACCUUUGACGAGAUAUCUUGUGCAUCGGGAUUCCGGUGAUGCUUUGGGUAAUCUCAGAGUUGAGGUUUUCCACUAGGGAAUCCGACGAGAUCGCGAGCUUCGUGAUUGAGGGUUUCUAUGCGGCUUGUGGUAAUUUGUGAUGGACUAGUUGGAGCACCCCUGCAGGGUCAAAUCUUUCGGAAAGUCGUGCCCGCGGUUAUGUGGCAACGUGGAUACUUUGUUUAACACUGGUUCUAUAUAACUCAAAGUUAAUUAAUUAAAACAUGUCUACUGUGUGCGUAACCGUGACUGUCUCUUUCGUGAGUUCUUUCUCCGAUCGAGGACACAGAGGGGUUAUGACUGACAUAGGUAGGUGUUCAGGAUCAUUCUUUUGGUCAUCUGUAGUUCACGCCCGCUAUGCGUAGUUCUUCCCCCUCUUUCUUCUGGUACACGUAAGUUAGCCACCUCAUAUAUGCUUAGCCGCUGCUGCAACCUCACCACUUAACCAUGCCUCACCCAUUAAGCUUUGCUAGUCUUGAUACCUUUGGAAAUGAGAUUGCUGAGUCCCCUGUGGCUCACAGAUUACUACAACAUCAGUUGCAGGUACAGGUAAAGGUUACAUGACGCGAGCGCGUUGAUUGUUCAUUUGGAGUUGCCACUUCUUCUUCUUCUUCAUCGAUCUAGGAUGGGUUCCAGGCCGGCAGCCUGGGAUAGCAAGGAUGGACGUCGUUCUUCUUUUGUCGUUUGUUUUCGUCCGUAGUCGGACCCUGCUCUUAUUCUUGAUGAU